UACGAAGGGGGCGAGCGUUGUUCGGAAUUACUGGGCGUAAAGCGUGCGCAGGCGGUUCGUUGUGUCGGUGGUGAAAUCCCCGGGCUUAACCUGGGAAUGGCCAUGGAAACUGGCGAACUGGAGUGCGGCAGAGGGGGGUGGAAUUCCGUGUGUAGCGGUGAAAUGCGUAGAUAUCUGGAGGAACACCGGUGGCGAAGGCGGCAUCCUGGACCGACACUGACGCUGAGGAGCGAAGGCCAGGGGAGCAAACGGG
rnacentral:rRNA from 1 species